CUCUUCAUCACCAGUUAUUCCAUAUUCACUCACAUCAUUCAUAUAAUUAUUACAUUCUUCACUCUUGCUAUAAGCGUUGUCGUCAUCAACGGUCCUAUUAAAUGAAACAUUUAUUUUAUGUCGUCGUCUUGUGUUGUAAGACGAGAUUUUAUAUAUGUAUGUACAUUCUACAUAAAAUGAAGAGAGGAAAAUGGAGAUUCAAGGAAUGUUUUCCCUAAUGGAUUACAUAUAUAGGUAUGCACAUUAUAUACAUUUAAGUAUACAUUUUCUUUAUAUAUAUAAAGCGGGAGAAAUACAUCACAUCUUAUAUAUAGUGUGUACCUAUGUAUAUUUACAUCAAUAAUCUGAAGAUACACAAUUGAUUUCAAGGCAGAAUAAAAACUUCAAUAGAAGUUAAGGAUUCCCUCUCUCUCUCCCGCAUUUUUCUUCCUCGUAUGAAUUGCUGUAUUAUACAUUGAUAUAUAUAUUGAAGAAAAAACAAUAAUGAAAAUAGUAUAAAAGUUCGUUUUAAAUUACAGAACAACACAUUCUUAUCCAUAAAUGACAAAAAUGCCUUUAGGCUAAUCUACAUAUUAUAUAUAUAUAACAUGAAAAGUCAUAAAUUGAUAGGUAAAAGAUUAUAAGAAAAUAUUAUGAUCAUUCCAUAUAUAUAUCUAUCAAUGUAUUAUACUAAUAUUAAUAGCCAAUAGGAUUUAGAUAUGAAAGGAUGGAAAAGGUGAUAGUCCAUAGAAUGAGUUAGGAGCAUUGUCAUAGGGGAGUAGGAAGAUCUAUAACAACUUUGGAGAAGCAGGUUGCAUUGCUUUAGUAACAAUAAUAGUAUAAUAAAAAAUUAACUUUUGACCUACAAAAAAAAAA
rnacentral:lncRNA from 1 species